UACGUAGGGUGCAAGCGUUGUCCGGAAUUAUUGGGCGCAAAGAGCUCGUAGGCGGUUCGUCGCGUCGGCUGUGAAAACCUGAGGCUCAACCUCAGGCCUGCAGUCGAUACGGGCGGACUUGAGUACUGCAGGGGAGACUGGAAUUCCUGGUGUAGCGGUGAAAUGCGCAGAUAUCAGGAAGAACACCUAUGGCGAAGGCAGCACUCUGGGACGGUACUGACGCUGAGACGCGAAAGCGUGGGGAGCGAACAGG
rnacentral:rRNA from 1 species